AAGCCUACGGGACGCAGCAGUGAGGAAUAUUGGUCAAUGGGCGGAAGCCUGAACCAGCCAAGUCGCGUGAGGGAAUAAGGCCCUACGGGUCGUAAACCUCUUUUGCCGGGGAGCAAGGGCCGGGACGAGUCCCGGUCCGGAGAGUACCCGGAGAAAAAGCAUCGGCUAACUCCGUGCCAGCAGCCGCGGUAAUACGGAGGAUGCGAGAGUUAUCCGGAUUUAUUGGGUUUAAAGGGUGCGUAGGCGGUCCGUUAAGUCAGCGGUAAAAUUGCGGGGCUCAACCCCGUCGAGCCGUUGAAACUGGC
rnacentral:rRNA from 1 species